rnacentral:rRNA from 1 species
UUGAACGCUGGCGGCAGGCUUAACACAUGCAAGUCGAGCGGAGAGAGGUAGCUUGCUACUGAUCUUAGCGGCGGACGGGUGAGUAAUGCUUAGGAAUCUGCCUAUUAGUGGGGGACAACAUUUCGAAAGGAAUGCUAAUACCGCAUACGUCCUACGGGAGAAAGCAGGGGAUCUUCGGACCUUGCGCUAAUAGAUGAGCCUAAGUCGGAUUAGCUAGUUGGUGGGGUAAAGGCCUACCAAGGCGACGAUCUGUAGCGGGUCUGAGAGGAUGAUCCGCCACACUGGGACUGAGACACGGCCCAGACUCCUACGGGAGGCAGCAGUGGGGAAUAUUGGACAAUGGGCGCAAGCCUGAUCCAGCCAUGCCGCGUGUGUGAAGAAGGCCUUAUGGUUGUAAAGCACUUUAAGCGAGGAGGAGGCUACUUUAGUUAAUACCUAGAGAUAGUGGACGUUACUCGCAGAAUAAGCACCGGCUAACUCUGUGCCAGCAGCCGCGGUAAUACAGAGGGUGCAAGCGUUAAUCGGAUUUACUGGGCGUAAAGCGCGCGUAGGCGGCUAAUUAAGUCAAAUGUGAAAUCCCCGAGCUUAACUUGGGAAUUGCAUUCGAUACUGGUUAGCUAGAGUGUGGGAGAGGAUGGUAGAAUUCCAGGUGUAGCGGUGAAAUGCGUAGAGAUCUGGAGGAAUACCGAUGGCGAAGGCAGCCAUCUGGCCUAACACUGACGCUGAGGUGCGAAAGCAUGGGGAGCAAACAGGAUUAGAUACCCUGGUAGUCCAUGCCGUAAACGAUGUCUACUAGCCG